rnacentral:tRNA from 1 species
GCUGAUGUAGCUCAGUCGGUAGAGCAACUGAUUCGUAAUCAGUAGGUCGCCAGUUCGAUUCCGGCCAUCAGCACCA